UACGGAGGGGGCUAGCGUUGUUCGGAAUUACUGGGCGUAAAGCGCCCGUAGGCGGCUUUGUAAGUUAGAGGUGAAAGCCCAGGGCUCAACCCUGGAAUUGCCUUUAAGACUGCAUCGCUUGAACAUCGGAGAGGUAAGUGGAAUUCCGAGUGUAGAGGUGAAAUUCGUAGAUAUUCGGAAGAACACCAGUGGCGAAGGCGACUUACUGGACGAUUGUUGACGCUGAGGUGCGAAAGCGUGGGGAGCAAACAGG
rnacentral:rRNA from 1 species